rnacentral:rRNA from 1 species
CCUACGGGCGGCAGCAGUGAGGAAUAUUGGUCAAUGGCCGAGAGGCUGAACCAGCCAAGUCGCGUGAGGGAAGACGGCCCUACGGGUUGGAAACCUCUUUUGUCGGGGAGCAAAGCGAGGCACGGGUGAAUCAUUGAGAGUACCCGAAGAAAAAGCAUGGGCUAACGCCGAGCAAGCAGCGGCGGGAAUACGGAGGAUGCGAGGGUAAACCGGUUUUAUUGGGGUUAAAGGGUGCGCUGGCGGAGGUGCAGGUCAGCGGUCAAAUUGCGGGGCUCAACCCCUUACUGCCGUUGAAACUGCAUCCCUUGAGUGCGCGAGAAGUAUGCGGAAUGCGUGGUGUAGCGGUGAAAUGCAUAGAUAUCACGCAGAACUCCGAUUGCGAAGGCAGCAUCCCGGCGCGCAACUGACGCUCAUGCACGAAAGCGUGGGUAUCGAACAGGAUUAGAUACCCCUGUAGUC